ensembl:lncRNA
CAAGGACGAGCUCUGUCUCCACUUCUGCAAAUAGCGACAAGUCUGAAAGUAUACCUUCUGUGAGAAGGAGACUAGUGUGGGGGAUUAGACAGCAUCAGAACUUUCCGGAACGAUAUCUAAAAUUUGGAGUUUUGAGCUCAGACUUUGAGGGAAGCACAAAUCCACGGCUGCUCGCUAGAGGAUAAGCCCCCCUGCGCUCAAACUUAAUGAGCACGAGUAAGCCCAUUCCUGCAGCUCCACGCAAGAGAAACGAUCAUGAAGUGUGCUGAAGAAUGACAGAGACAAAGCGAGAGAGACUGGAAGAAAGGACAAGCCAGAGAGUGCAAAAGCGAGAGAGGUUGUCUGCCAAAGGGAGACUCUUUAAUUCGGUCUCUGUUGAGGAGUGGGUCGAGUGGAACGCUGGCCUGUCUGUCACUGCGAGGCUCCAGUGACCGUCUGACAGAUCACAGCACAGCGCCGCAUCAGGGGGGCCAGUAAAUUGGCCCGGGGGGCCUCCCUAGUCUCCUUUCUCCAGCUGAAUCUGCAGAGGCGAGGCUGAUGGGUAGUGUGGUACACAGGAGGCUAUUUAUGAGACAUAUUUGUCCAUGGCAGCAUUUUCAGCAAAAGCGGUUUACAUGUGUUCGGGGUUGUCGGGGGGAGCGAGGCACCCUGGAAGGAAUACAGCAAACUGCCCAGGAACUACAGAUAAAAACGUCUCUAGGUUACGUAUGUAACCCUAGUUCCUCGAGGGAACGAGAUGCUGCGUCAAACGCUUUGGGGAACGCGUCUAGCGUGAGCGACUCUGAAUAUCGUGUGUAAUCAGUCCAAUGGAAGAGCGUGACGUAAGCGACCAGGAAGCUAUAAAAGCACAUGCCGCGCAGCUGGCGUUAGCUUCGAGUACCAGCAACCGCCGGCAGGGGCGCCGGGGGUAUGGCACCGAGAAGUAACGGCUUGUUCCCUCGAGGAACCAGGGUUACAUACGUAACCUAGAGACGUUCCUCUUCAGGAACUCGAGCUGCAUCGAACGCUUUGGGGAACGAGUACCAACGCUGCCAGACUACCAAACCCCUGCCUAGUGUGUAUCCGAAGAGCACAGCUUAGGACGAGAGGACAGAAGCGCUUGGAGUGACUGGCAUGUCUAAGCUAUAAAAUUUUGCAAAAGUAGAGGGCGUGGACCACCCCGCAGCGUUGCAGAUGUCCAGUAUGGAUACACCUACUAAGAAGGCCUUGGAGGCCGCCAUACCCCGAGUAGAGUGAGCCUUGGCUCCCAGCAGCGGGGGAAGACCAUAGGACUCAUAGGUGGCGUUGAUAGCCUCGACUAUCCAACAACUAAUAGUCUGCUUAGAAGCAGGAGAACCUCUCUUGGGGGGACCGUAGCAUACAAGCAAUUGGUCUGUUUUUCUCCACAGGGCAGCUCUGUGGACGUAUCAGUGCUCAAAUCAAACUUUAAUAACCAAAUAAACAUAAAAUAGACAACACAAACAAAAACCAAACCCAAAAUAAGGCCUGGUCCUCUCUCGUCCUUCACUGUCGUCACUCCUCUUUUGUAUCCUCCCAAUCUCCUCCGUGGGACUCGAGACCAGUGAGUGGAGCACGUGUCGCUCAUUUCCCAAUCACUCCACCGGCCUCGCUCUGUUCCCACGGCUCUCGGCCCCGCCCCACUCGUCACAUACCCCCAUUGCCCCUCGCAGGCUGGGGGGUACUCCCGAGACUGCGCUCUACUCCCCAACCCCCCCUCCCUCCGGUGGUGGCAAUAGACGGCCCUCGGUGGACGGCACGACACUCCUCCACCGCCCGGUGGACGGCGACGGCUCCUCCGGUUUUGGACAGCUGAGAGGAGUCCCCCGUUCCCUGCUCCUCCCCAUUCUUGGCGGAUGGCAGCAGGCUCCGGCCACCUGGCGAAUGGCGCCGACUCCUCCGCUCCCUCACGGACAGCAGCCGUCCCUCCACAUCGCGGGCGGCCGGCAGCGUGCUUGUCCGUCCCCGGCAACUCACUCCAGCCCACCGCCUCGAGCGUCCACGGCGCCAGACUGCUACUCCCUGCUCCAUGGCACCGCGGAUUCACCCCAGCGGCGAGGGAUCUUCGGCAGCACGUCCCUCCUUCCUCCCGGGUUUCGGCACCAGUGUAACAAAAAAACUCAAUAAUCAGGGAAGAAGGAGGCGGGAACCGGCGAACAUUCAAAUCAAACUUUAAUAACCAAAUAAACACAAACAAAAACCAAACCCAAAAUAAAGCCCAGGCCUGGUCAUCUCUCGUCCUUCACUGUCGUCGCUCCUCUUUUGUAUCCUCCCAAUCUCCUCCGUGGGACUCGAGACCUCGUUCCGUUCCCACGGCUCUCGGCCCCGCCCCACUCGUCACACCACCGAUGUGUUGUCAGUGCGCACCAACACAUGGUGACCCCUUAGGUCUGGGAGGAAGUGCUUCAGUGCAUAAACUGCUAGCAUUUCUAGACAAUUGAUAUGCCAUGUCAGAUGGCGACCGCUCCACAGACCACGGGCAGGGUGGCCACUCAUGACCGCACCCCAACCAGUGAGGGAUGCAUCCGUCGCUAGUGUUACACAGCGACCAGGAGCUCCCAGCACCAGGCCCUGAUUCAAGAACCAAGGUUUCUUCCACAUGUCUAAGGCACGGAGGCAGCACCGCGUGACCUUGAUAGUUCGAAAAAGUGCACUCUUCUUGGCGUUCAGUCUCAAACCCAGCUCCCCCAUAUGUGCGAGAACGACAUCUCGAUGCCGAGCCGCAAUCUGCUCCAACUGAGCUAAAAUCAACCAAUCGUCGAUAUAGUUGAGAAUGCAGAUGCCCUGCAUGCGCAGGGGGACCAGACCCGCAUCUACACAUUUUGUGAACGUGCGGGGUGAGAGUGCAAGGCCGAAGGGAAGUACUCGAUAUUGGUAGGCUUCACGCCCGAAAGCGAACCUCAGAAACUUCCUGUGUUGUGGAAGGAUGGAUAUGUGGAAGUAUGCAUCUUUGAGAUCUAUUGUAACAAACCAGUCCUCGGACCUGAUCUGAG